CAACGUUUUGGUCAUAUUUACUAUUAAUUGCCCAGCACCCCCUCAGCACCUGCGUUCAAAAUUCUCUGGCGCCGCCCCUGACUGUAAGUAGGCUAUCACUUGCAUUCAUGUAGAACAUUAUAUUCUACUGUUGACCAUUCUGAGCAGACUGAAGGAAGGAUGGGUGAAGGGAUUUAAGAAGAAACAAAUGGACAGAAGGGAAAGUUCCCUGCACCUCCACUCUGUGGGGUGAUCAAAGUAUCUGAGGUUCUUUCGUCCUUACAAGUGCCUACUUUUCAGCAUCUGAAGAUUUUCAUUACAUUCAAAGGCUGGAGGGUGAAUCGGUGGACAUAGAUUGUGUGACAGAAGAACCCCGGCCAUCGCUUCUGCACCUGAGACGAAGGUUUGCUCAUUCAGAAAGUGUGCUGAGCAUUUCUGAAGAUGAAGAAGUCCUGAGAGCAGAUCCAGAGACGGAGGGACGAAUCCACAUCUCCGGACAGCUGAAUUUACGCACAGUUACUCUGACUCUCUCUCAUUUACGAGCCACAGACACGGGGCUGUAUGUCUGCGAUUUCUCAGGAGAUCCAUCAGAUCCGCUCUCGGCGAAUACAACUCUCUUUCUGCUGGUAAAAGCGGCAGGCGAGUCGUGCUCCUGUAGGAGGUAUUCUCUGCUCAUCUAUACCAUCACAGUAGGAGUGAGUCUGCUCCUACUCUCGGCCAUCGCUCUCUUUGUGACACAUUAUAAAAAGCCAUAUGCUCAGCCAGAGCGUCAAACCACAGCUCCAAUUUAUGAAGACAUGUCAAAUAUGAAAGGAAAAGGAAGCAGUGCAAACAGUCAUCGGAUUCAUCCAACAGCCCCAGAAACAUCUGCUACGCUGGAGAACCUCUACCGAUCCCCCAAACGGACAAAUGUGGAACAGCAUCAGGAAAAAGAAUCAUCAUAAAAAUCAGCUCAGUUGUGAAAUACAUUAUUGAAAUAUACCCCUUUCCAGGGACAUGCUAAAAUCUAUAAUGUAUACUAAUAUAUAUAUAUAUAUAUACGGUAACACAUUACAAUAAGGUACAUUAGUUAACAUGAACUAAGAAUUAACAAUACUUCCACAGCAUUUAUUAAUCUUAAUGUUAAUUUCAGCAUUAACUAAUGCAUUAUUAAAAUCUCAAGUUGUGUUUGUUAACAUUAGUUAUACUACGGGGCCGUUGAAUGCUUGAAUCUGAUUGGCUGUCGAACGUUGUAAGGUGUGCAAUUAUUUCAAGGAAACGCACGGCGAACGUAGUUCCAGGCAGCUCUUGACCGCGUUACAUGACCAUAUCACUUCGCCAAAUGAUUUCUGUUAUUUCAAAGGUCUUACAACAGAAAAAUAACCAAACCCCACAACACACUGGCCAAACAAAUAAAUAUAGUAAACAAAAGGAUAAAAACGACAGAUCAUGUCCAUGUUUUUGCCACAAAAUUAGGCUUUAUGUAUGGAAAGAACAUACUCCAUAUCUCCCGCUCUCUCUCCCUCACAGCCGCACAUACAUAAGUUACAGUUUACACACACAUACUAACAUACAUAAUGUUGUUAGCGCUACUCUGACGAUUUUAUCAGUAAACAACUUAGAAACUACAUGAUUUCUCACAAGAGAGGUAACAACAUCGGCGCUGUUCGUGAACAAAAGGAACUAAGUUUCACUAUAACUAGACAUUGCUGCCGAACACUAUUGAGAGACGCACAGAGGUAAUCUCUCUCUCUCUCAUAACUUGGUUAUUAACUGUAUUAACUGCAUUAAUCUGUUAUCAACGGCUCAAGCCUCCGUUACUAGGUUUAAACUGACGUUUUGGAAUUAGCAACAGAGGCCUGGAUGAGAUGCGGAAGAAAUAAUCCUAUUCACAAUAGCGAUUUAAGUAGAAAUACCGGACGAAUGCCUUGAAAUAUAUCAUCUGAUCGAUGUCUUGAGGUGUGGCAACCGUAGUAUAAGCGGAAUAAUUGACUUCGGUCCGUUGAACUAUUUGAAAAAUAAUGCACACCCGAGGUGUAACGGCCCGUCGUCAAUUAUUCCUUACUUAAUGCACUGUGAACUAACAAUGAACGACUGUACUUUCAUUAACUAACGUUAACAAAUGACACCUUAUUGGAAAGUGUUACCAUAGAGAGUAUACAUUAUAGAUUUUAGCAUGUUCCUGGAAAUGGAUUUCACCAUUUUAAAUUAGCAUUUGGUCUGUCUGUCUUCUUCCUUUUUUUGGAUAAAUGACAAAUACAGUAAAUUUUAAAAAUAAAAUAUUCUGUCGCCUCAGUUAAUACAUGUAUAAUAACAAACAACUGCUAUAAUUGUAACUAGCAAUAAAUAGUUGUAGUUCUUCCUUAAAACGGCAUUUUCCAAUUCUUCUUUAACCCAUAGUAAUUUUAGAUAAAGCAGGGUGAAUACAGGCUGGUUACUUUCUGAUAAUUUGUCAUGGGCCUUUUUUUUUUUCGUGAGAUCCAAAUUGCUGUGUGUCAUUUUGCACUACUAAUAACAUUUUUCAUUCUAUCAGAAAAAAACACAACACAAUGACAGGUUAUUAAGACUCCCACUUUACCUGGAUUCAUCCUCAUCCUUCAGCUCAUAACUGCAGGUUACUGAUGUCUACUUCUAAGAAAUGACCAAACAAAAUUCAUUACAGCCAAGAACAAAAAUGCAAUUUAUUAAUUGAAUUUGAAAGAAGCUCCAUAGUUCAAAACUUUUUUUUUUUUCGGUGCAUGUCAACAAUCACAUUCUAUGAGGAGAGAAAAAGAGAGAGAAAGAGAGAGAAAACAAAAACAUUAAAAGCCACUGACUUCUUAAAAUCUCAGUACAGACAUAUUCCUUAACAUUUAAAAUCAAAAGGCAAAAGCAACUCAGUAUCUCCAUCCACACUCAUCCCAGAAACACACUCGGUCGCUCGCACACACACACACGCACACACACACACACGCACGCACACACACACGCACGCUCACACGCAGAACACAGACAACCUUGAAAGUCAUGGGCUACAAAAAAACCCCCACAGUGCUUCAGAAUGAGACGUUCAUUGGUUUAGGAAUACACAGCAUGGCGAUGUACUGUAUGUAAGAAACAUGAUAAUGGGAAAUAAGAUGGGGUCGGUGGGGGAGGGAGACAACAGAGCAAAUGAGCACAAUAAAAAGACACAGAAAGAAUCCCUCUAAUCCCAAUGAGAGAUGGGUCACAGAGGCUUUAAGAAGCCCACCCCCUUGUGCAUAGAUCAUGAUCCGUAUAAACCAGCUUUUUUUCCUCUCGAAAUAGAUCAAUUUGAUACAGAAGCCCUGCCCCCCCAACCCCUCUUUUUAAUUUCUCAUUAUGUAAUACCCGCCACAAGAGACAGAAUGACAAAGAGGAAAGAAAUAGUAAUGCACAAUGGUCCUGAUUUCAACAGGAAGGGACCUCAUGUUAAGAAAAUACAAUAAAGAUUCAAACAUACAGCAUUUGUAUGUUCUUUCACCGUCUUUUGAACAAUCAAAAUCAUUGAUCAUUUUGUUUAAAAUGUAAAGCAAUUUCAAUAUAUAGAUUUAUAUAUAAAGCACUCCAUUUUUUAAAGUUCAUUAAGAGUUCAUUAUUUGGUAAAUAUGUAACUGCUACGGAUUUAGAAACAAAGGUAUUUUCUUCUUCUGAAAUCCAUAACCUUCAGUGCUUAUGUUUUUUUUUCUUUUUUUUUUUCUGUUAUCCUCUUUCUCUAAAAACGAACAUUAAAUGGCGUGGAGUUGGUACUCUGGAACCCUUGCCUUCCUGAGACAUGAUCCACUUUUUGUGUGUGCAAGAUAGUGAACAUUUAUGUCUUCUUCUUUUCUCUUUUUUUUUUUCAACAAA